GAGUUUGAUCCUGGCUCAGGACGAACGCUGGCGGCGUGCUUAACACAUGCAAGUCGAACGGAAAGGCCCGCUUGCGGGUACUCGAGUGGCGAACGGGUGAGUAACACGUGGGUAACCUGCCCUCAGCUUUGGGAUAACUCUCGGAAACGGGUGCUAAUACCGAAUGUUGACAUUGCCUCGCAUGGGGUUUUGUUGAAAGUUUUUCGGCUGGGGAUGGGCCCGCGGCCUAUCAGCUUGUUGGUGGGGUGAUGGCCUACCAAGGCGACGACGGGUAGCCGGCCUGAGAGGGCGAUCGGCCACACUGGAACUGAGACACGGUCCAGACUCCUACGGGAGGCAGCAGUGGGGAAUAUUGCGCAAUGGGCGGAAGCCUGACGCAGCGACGCCGCGUGAGGGAUGAAGGUCUUCGGAUUGUAAACCUCUUUCAGUAGGGACGAAUAGAAGACGGUACCUGCAGAAGAAGCACCGGCCAACUACGUGCCAGCCGCCGCAGU
rnacentral:rRNA from 1 species